GCUAAGUUAUCAGUGGCCUCAAU
rnacentral:snRNA from 1 species